AGAGUUUGAUCAUGGCUCAGAUUGAACGCUGGCGGUAGGCUUAACACAUGCAAGUCGUGCGAGAAAGUAUCUUCGGAUAUGAGUAGAGCGGCGGACGGGUGAGUAACGCGUAGGAAUCUACCUAGUAGAAGGGGAUAGCCCGGGGAAACCCGGAUUAAUACCGUAUACCUCCUUCGGGAGAAAGAAGGCCUCUCUUUGAAGCUUUCGCUACUAGAUGAGCCUGCGUAAGAUUAGCUUGUUGGUGAGGUAAAGGCUCACCAAGGCGACGAUCUUUAGCUGGUCUGAGAGGACGAUCAGCCACAUUGGGACUGAGACACGGCCCAGACUCCUACGGGAGGCAGCAGUGGGGAAUAUUGGACAAUGGGCGCAAGCCUGAUCCAGCCAUACCGCGUGUGUGAAGAAGGCCUUCGGGUUGUAAAGCACUUUAAGCAGGGAGAAAAAGUUAUAAGUUAAUACCUUAUAACCCUGAUGUUACCUGCAGAAUAAGCACCGGCUAAUUCCGUGCCAGCAGCCGCGGUAAUACGGAAGGUGCAAGCGUUAAUCGGAAUUACUGGGCGUAAAGCGCGCGUAGGUGGUUUGUUAAGUUGGAUGUGAAAGCCCUGGGCUCAACCUAGGAACUGCAUCCAAAACUAACUCACUAGAGUACGAUAGAGGGAGGUAGAAUUCAUAGUGUAG
rnacentral:rRNA from 1 species